rnacentral:rRNA from 1 species
UACGAAGGGGGCUAGCGUUGUUCGGAAUACUGGGCGUAAAGCGUGUGUAGGCGGCCACGUAAGUCGGAUGUGAAAGCCCCAGGCUCAACCUGGGAAGUGCACUCGAUACUGCGUGGCUUGAGUAUCGGAGAGGUUGGUGGAAUUCUCGGUGUAGAGGUGAAAUUCGUAGAUAUCGAGAGGAACACCGGUGGCGAAGGCGGCCAACUGGACGAAUACUGACGCUGAGACACGAAAGCGUGGGGAGCAAACAGG